AUUGAACGCUGGCGGCAUGCCUUACACAUGCAAGUCGAACGGCAGCACGGGAGCAAUCCUGGUGGCGAGUGGCGAACGGGUGAGUAAUAUAUCGGAACGUGCCCAGUCGUGGGGGAUAACGUAGCGAAAGCUACGCUAAUACCGCAUACGAUCUAUGGAUGAAAGCGGGGGAUCGGAAGACCUCGCGCGAUUGGAGCGGCCGAAAUCAGAUUAGGUAGUUGGUGGGGUAAAGGCUCACCAAGCCGACGAUCUGUAGCUGGUCUGAGAGGACGACCAGCCAAACUGGGACUGAGACACGGCCCAGACUCCUACGGGAGGCAGCAGUGGGGAAUUUUGGACAAUGGGCGCAAGCCUGAUCCAGCAAUGCCGCGUGCAGGAUGAAGGCCUUCGGGUUGUAAACUGCUUUUGUACGGAGCGAAAAGGCUUCCACUAAUACUGGGGGCUCAUGACGGUACCGUAAGAAUAAGCACCGGCUAACUACGUGCCAGCAGCCGCAGUAACAC
rnacentral:rRNA from 1 species